rnacentral:rRNA from 1 species
GACAGAGGAUGCAAGCGUUAUCCGGAUUUACUGGGCGUAAAGAGUUGCGUAGGUGGUAUGUUAAGCAAAUAGUGAAAUCGUGUGGCUCAACCAUACAUCCAUUAUUUGAACUGGCAAACUUGAGAGUGAGAGAGGUUACUGGAAUUCCUUGUGUAGGAGUGAGAUCCGUAGAUAUAAGGAGGAACACCGAUGGCGUAGGCAGGUAACUGGCUCAUUUCUGACACUAAGGCACGAAAGCGUGGGGAGCGACCGGG